rnacentral:rRNA from 1 species
GACGGGACCGCACAAGCGGUGGAUGAUGUGGUUAAUUCGAUGCAACGCGAAAACCUUACCACCUUUGACAUGUACGGAAGCCUUUAGAGAUAGAGGCGUGCUCGAAAGAGAGCCGUAACACAGGUGCUGCAUGGCUGUCGUCAGCUCGUGUCGUGAGAUGUUGGGUUAAGUCCCGCAACGAGCGCAACCCUUGUCAUUAGUUGCUACAUUCAGUUGGGCACUCUAAUGAGACUGCCGGUGACAAGCCGGAGGAAGGUGGGGAUGACGUCAAGUCCUCAUGGCCCUUAUAGGUGGGGCUACACACGUCAUACAAUGGCUGGUACAAAGGGUUGCCAACCCGCGAGGGGGAGCUAAUCCCAUAAAGCCAGUCGUAGUCCGGAUCGUAGUCUGCAACUCGACUACGUGAAGUCGGAAUCGCUAGUAAUCGUGGAUCAGAAUGUCACGGUGAAUACGUUCCCGGGUCUU